rnacentral:rRNA from 1 species
AGCAACGCCGCGUGAGUGAUGAAGGCUUUCGGGUCGUAAAACUCUGUUGUUAGGGAAGAACAAGUGCUAGUUGAAUAAGCUGGCACCUUGACGGUACCUAACCAGAAAGCCACGGCUAACUACGUGCCAGCAGCCGCGGUAAUACGUAGGUGGCAAGCGUUAUCCGGAAUUAUUGGGCGUAAAGCGCGCGCAGGUGGUUUCUUAAGUCUGAUGUGAAAGCCCACGGCUCAACCGUGGAGGGUCAUUGGAAACUGGGAGACUUGAGUGCAGAAGAGGAAAGUGGAAUUCCAUGUGUAGCGGUGAAAUGCGUAGAGAUAUGGAGGAACACCAGUGGCGAAGGCGACUUUCUGGUCUGUAACUGACACUGAGGCGCGAAAGCGUGGGGAGCAAACAGGAUUAGAUACCCUGGUAGUCCACGCCGUAAACGAUGAGUGCUAAGUGUUAGAGGGUUUCCGCCCUUUAGUGCUGAAGUUAACGCAUUAAGCACUCCGCCUGGGGAGUACGGCCGCAAGGCUGAAACUCAAAGGAAUUGACGGGG